rnacentral:lncRNA from 1 species
GCAGAGGCUUAAAGUGCUCAGAAUCUUUCCAUCUCCAGAAAGGAGCCUCCUGCUUGUGUGCAGCUGAAUCUGUUCUUAUAAUGACCAUCACUCUCAGGAGAAAAAAGUUCUGUUUCAUUCUAACUGUUGUAUGAUGGAAUUUAGAAUCACUUUAGUGACAGAUGUCCUUCAGCAUGAGGAUCUCUCCCUGUUCCAGCAUUGACAUCACAGGAGGAGCAGACUUUCCUCAGCAGUUACUUGGCUCAAAUAACCAGUGUUCCACGCAAGGCCUCCAGUUUCUCCUGAGACACAUCUCAGAAGAGAGUGUCAAUGUUUUCAUACUUGAUUUGGCCCAGGAGGAGAUCUCCUUCCAUCUGAAGAAACAGGCAGCUGAGGAAGAAGACUCAGACACAUACUGCUGUACCAUGUGCUAUGCUACUGUGCUGUACUAUGAGUGGUACAAUGACAAGAACUGCAGAUAUAGCUGACGCUGCAGGAAUAUCGCCUGAGGGACAUAAUAACAAACACAGGUAUGUCAUGAAGCUUAACAACGAUAAAGAUCUUGCCAUUAGUAGCCAUCCUGAUUCUCCCUUGAGCUAGAUGUAUGGCAUUGAGCUUUAAGACGCAGCUCAAAGUUGAGAGUGAAGAACCAGGUCAAGGUCAUUCUAGGACCACAAGAACUUAGAAGAUGUGACAAGUAUCCCAAACAUUGAUUAAAUCAGCAGUCUCCAGUAGGUUGUCAGUUAAUCAAAAAUACAAGCAGUUUCCAGCUGCAAACUUGAGUGAUCUAGAUGGUCAAAGUUACCUACAUGAGAUUCCCCUUUGCUGUAAAUGAGUAGUAAUGAAAUGAGUGUGUUAACCCAUAUAAAAUAGCUUGAUGUUUUGUAUUCUAAUUUCCGUUGUCAAUUUGUGGAACCUUUGGCAAUUCUAUCAGUCACUUGUCUUCCUUUAUUAUUGAAAUCUGGGUUAGAACUAGAUGAAAUCUAUUUCCUUGCAGCCCAAUGGCUAUAUGAUUCCAUUAGCCUCAAACAUUUCCUGACCACUAUUUUUAUGCUUUUCACUUAUGUGGUGAAUACAAGGAAAUUAGCCAACCUGAAUUUCUAUGAAAAGUUUUUCCUUUUCUUGCCUAGAAUUGUACUCAGUCCUUUAAAUACAGAAUUUCAAGCUGAAUAAAAAAAGAUGCCAACUAUUAGAAAAGAAAGAU